rnacentral:rRNA from 1 species
GUGUCAGCAGCCGCGGUAAUACGGGGGGGGCAAGCGUUGUUCGGAAUUACUGGGCGUAAAGGGCUCGUAGGCGGCCAACUAAGUCGGAUGUGAAAUCCCCAGGCUCAACCUGGGAACUGCAUCCGAUACUGGAUGGCUUGAAUCCGGGAGAGGGAUGCAGAAUUCCAGGUGUAGCGGUGAAAUGCGUAGAUAUCUGGAGGAAUACCGGUGGCGAAGGCGGCAUCCUGGACCGGCAUUGACGCUGAGGAGCGAAAGCUAGGGGAGCAAACGGGAUUAGAAACCCUCGUAGUCC